GGAGACCGUCUUUACCAGGGCCCCUCUUUUCCUCUAGGACUCAUUUUGGAGCCAUGGGAAAAGCUGUGAGAACCAAAUACCAUGUCGACUGUGCCCUAUGAACAACUCUCAACUGAAGAGCAAAGAGCCAGCUGCUGGGUUUGCGGAGGGCAGUUCCACAGACCACUUCCACUUUUCAUCCCCUUCUGAUGUUGCAAAUACGGAGUGGAAACAGGGAUGACUCCUAAGCAAGAAACGCUAGUGAUCUGGAAGCAAACCCACAAGAUCUCUGGACUUCUGUAACCUCACCUUGUCCGAAUACAAGUGGACUGAGUGCGGAUGGAUGUACUAGCUGCUUCCAAUGCAUGCCAGCAGAGGCUAAAACUAAUGUCCCUGGACCAAGGG